CCUCUGGGAAUCCCUCUGGGCAUGGGUGUGAUGCUCUGCCACCCUCGUGCAGCCCCUCGCUGUUGUACAUCACACCCUCACUGCCACUGCCCCAGCCCCAUCCUCACUGGGACAGCCUCAAGGUGCCUGGAGUUACUUAUGGACAGCUUGUAGAAGAGACAUAUUUACUUAAUAAAUAAAUACAAACAACAUACGGCAGGUGCUAGCAUGAAAUACACACUACUGGUGUUGUGAGGGAGAUAAGGUCUGAGGCUGGAGCUUUGCCCAGUGCAGCUUAACUUGCCCAGCUGGCACACACCAGGCUGCCCUGGAUGGGUAACGGGACUGGCAGUGCAAUCUGGAGCUGCUCAAGGGCACGUCAGAAGCUGCACACCUGGAGGGAUAAAUAUAUUAACGCAGGGAAAUAUAUUAUCCAGGGAAGCUUUGCCUUAGAAUGCCUGGGGACACAAAGUCGGCCCUUCUCUGGGAGCCGGCGGGGCCCUCGGGCACAUUUCUGGGUGCCUGCCCAGGGUAGGUCCCGGGAGUGGCAGCUGAGGGUCAUGGCACACGUGGGCACACACAGCUGAGGGUCAUGGCACACGUGGGCACACAGCUGAGGGUCAUGGCACACGUGGGCACAGGGCAGAGGACAGGGCAA